CUCCUCGGAACAGCAGGCCCCACAAAGACGGGGAGCGCCCGGCUCACUGGGUGCUUCGACCCUCAACCGCUGCGCAGGAAAACAAGCCAAUCACUGACACAAACAGGAAGCAGCUGGUUUUCCCCAAACGUGAGGGCUGGGCUGGGGUCCCCAGGGCCCGGGCCACAGAGACAGCCAGGCGCUCAGCUGGGUGGGCUGUUCAGGUCCUCAGGGAACCCACCCGGCGGGACCUUGGGGCCCAGUCCCAGCUGGGGGAGGCCAGGGUACGUCUGAGCAAGAUGGGAUUCUGGCAUGCAGCCCACUCACUACUGUGGGGGUUCGGCCGCCCCACCCGGGAGCACGAACAGCAUACCAGGUGGUGGUGCUGGAGCCCAUCAGGCACCCCCUGCUCUGCGCUCGGCAUGCAGCAGGAGCUCGGAAGCGGGGACAACCGAACAGAUGCAAGGUCGGAACCCCCGAGGGAGGUCCUGAGUCUGGGGCGGGGGCCGGUGGCACAGGAGUGUGAGGCAGGUACACUUCCUCAAGUCUGCUAGACUUCAACCACACAGUUACAAACAAAUGAGGCCGCUCAGAGACCCCCAGGCUCGGGAGCCAAGUCCUGCUGAUGCAUGGGAGCCAGAGUCCCCUCCGAGCCCCGGCGAGGCAGCCAGGCUCCUCUGUGGACAGAGCAGGUACCCAGGGCUUCCGGAUGCCUGAGCUGGGGGGAGUGGGCUUCUGGACCUCCUGACAGGCCCCGGGGCACACCGGCUCCUGCACCUGGCUGCUCGUCAGAUGCAGGUGCCCGCACCACACCCGACCCCCUCCUUGAAUCUCAGGGUCAGAGCACGGUGGGGCAGCCAAGAUCUCUCCCGGGCUGGUGAUACUGGGGGUGAAGGAUCUCUCCGAGCCGGGUUCCAGAGACAAGUGUCUUCACAAGCAGGGUUGAGUAAUAGGAGUGUUCUCAGACGGAAGGACAGAAAGGGGUUUAACCAGCCCAAUGAGACACCCUAAUGAAACCCCACGGCACGGACGCAGGGAUGCCGCUACAGCUCAGUGGGGGGCGGGCGAAUCUGGUAACAGACGCAGCUCUUUGUACAAAUAGCAUUAAAACUUCAGAGAAGAGAACAUUAUGAAUUUAAAACAGCAGCAAAUGACCCCGAAAACCCUUCCAACAAAGGGAUACAGAGGAAUUGCCUUAAACAUAAUUCUGGGAUAACUCAUCUGUAAUUUGAAAUAGAAAUUGAGAGAGAAAACCUACGUCCACACUGUAGACCCAUGCGCAGAUGUCUCUAGCAGCUCUGCUCCUAUUUGCCAGAACUUGGAAGCCACCAAGAUGCCUUUCGGUAGGUACACGGACACACGGAGGGACAUCGGGGCGGUGGAAUAUUGCUCAGCAUUAGUAAGGAACGAGCUCUGAAGCCAUGGGAGGUCACACAGGAACCAUAAAUUGAGAAAAGCCAGUCUGAGAAGGCUGCACAUGGUGACCCCAGCUCUAGAACAUUCUUGAAAAGGCUGUACUAGGGACACAGGACAGAGAUCAGGAGUCAUCAGGGUUUGGGGGGGGAGGGAUGAACAGGAGGAUCUUGGAGGGCUUUAGGGCAGGGUCCCCACUCCAUGUGACACCGUGGUGCUGGACAGUGUCAUCUCGCAUGCAUCUGAACCCACAGGAUGUUCACCACCAAGAGUGACCCCAUUCAACUGCGGACUUUGGUUACUAGGUAUCAGUAUUGGUUCGUUAAUUUUGACAAAUGUGGCAGCUAGGAGGUCAAUAAUAGGAGACCCUGUGCAUGUGUGCAUGUGUGUGCAUGCAUGUGUUCACAUAUGUGUGCACACGUGGGAGGGAGGAGGUAUAAAGGAAUUCCCUGUACGUUCCCCUCUAAUUUUCCUGUAAGCCUAAACUGGUUUUAUCCUUGGUGGAGGGCUGUUUGUGACCAGUCUUUGAUGCCAUUGUCACCAGAUCCCCUUGUGGAGCACGAGCCCACCCCAUGUGAGCCCCGCUCCUAUGGUGUCUGCCUAAUGCCCAAGGAGACUGAAGCAGAGAGAAGCUGAGCAACGGCAGGGGAUUGAACCCAGAACUGGCUGCACCCACGCCCAGGCUCUGUGACCUCCCUUCUCUGUUACUCUUGCCCUGGGACCCUGUUCCCUUCCUAAACAUUAGUGAGGCCUCAAGGAGUGUGUGCUAAUGUAGAGUUGCAGCUGCUAGGAUUUGCCUCACAGAUGUUAAAGCUAAGACAUUAACUUUUAAAAAUAUUUACAAUUUAGAAAUUUAGAAGUGUUUUAAAUAAAUUAAAAGUCACAAAAAUAAUCA
rnacentral:lncRNA from 12 species